GUCUAAUGCCGAGUAACAGCAACUACUAUUAAUACUAAAAAUUCAUAUAGCCUGCGUUAGAAUUAUGCACUGCAGAAAGUUCUAUAUGGCUGAAUAACUUUUCCUAAAAUUUUUGUUUGUGAUGUCUGACGCUCAUUCACGUAACGCUUGUAUUUGACAGCAUAGAGUCCAGGGACAAAUAUGAGGAUAAAGGACAUGACAAUGAGCCAAUCAAUGUGCUGCCAAAUAAAUAUAAUAGGCGUAUUUUCCCACUAUUUAGGAGAGAGAGAGAGAGAGAGAGAGAAAAAACAGAUACAAUUUUUAUCUUGUAAUACCUUUUUUUAUUGGAC